GGGGGUGAAAUCCCUGGGCUUAACGCAGGACCUGCACUCAAAACUGAAAGGCUAGAGGCCGAGAGAGGUGAGUGGAAUGUCCAGUGUAGAGGUGAAAUUCGUAGAUAUUGGAAAGAACACCAGUGGCGAAGGCGGCUCACUGGCUCGGUACUGACGCUGAGGUGCGACAGCGUGGGGAGCAAACAG
rnacentral:rRNA from 1 species